rnacentral:rRNA from 1 species
CGCCGCCGCGGGAAUACGAGGGGGGCAAGCGUUGUUCGGAAUUAUUGGGCGUAAAGGGCGCGUAGGCGGUUUGGCAAGUUUGGUGUGAAAUCUUCGGGCUCAACUCGAAGUCUGCAUCGAAAACUGCCGGGCUUGAGUAUGGGAGAGGUGAGUGGAAUUUCCGGUGUAGCGGUGAAAUGCGUAGAUAUCGGAAGGAACACCUGUGGCGAAAGCGGCUCACUGGACCAUUACUGACGCUGAGGCGCGAAAGCUAGGGGAGCAAACAGGAUUAGAUACCCCUGUAGUCCCUGUCUCUUAUACA